UCGCCUGCGAUCCCUGCCUCUUACCCUUUGUGACAUACCCAACUGUUGCUUCGGCGGGUCGGGGCGCCCUCCCGGGGGCGCCCCCCAGGCCCGGCCCCUCCCGGGGCCGAGCGCCCGCCGGAGGAUCACCCAACUCUAUUUUAACGACGUUUCUUCUGAGUGGCACAAGCAAAUAAUUAAAACUUUUAACAACGGAUCUCUUGGUUCUGGCAUCGAUGAAGAACGCAGCGAAAUGCGAUAAGUAAUGUGAAUUGCAGAAUUCAGUGAAUCAUCGAAUCUUUGAACGCACAUUGCGCCCGCCAGCAUUCUGGCGGGCAUGCCUGUUCGAGCGUCAUUUCAACCCUCAAGCCCGGCUUGGUGUUGGGGCACUACGGUCGACGUAGGCCCUUAAAGGUAGUGGCGGACCCUCCCGGACCCUCCUUUGCGUAGUAACUAACGUCUCGCAUCGGGAUCCGGAGGGACUCCUGCCGUAAAACCCCCACACUUUUUCUGGUUGACCUCGGAUCAGGUAGGAAUACCCGCUGAACUUAAGCAUAUCAAUAAGCAAGAGGAAGA
rnacentral:rRNA from 1 species